rnacentral:rRNA from 1 species
GAUGAACGCUGGCGGCGUGCCUAAUACAUGCAAGUCGAGCGAACGGACGAGAAGCUCGCUUCUCUGAUGUUAGCGGCGGACGGGUGAGUAACACGUGGAUAACCUACUUAUAAGACUGGGAUAACUUCGGGAAACCGGAGCUAAUACCGGAUAAUAUUUUGAACCGCAUGGUUCAAAAGUGAAAGACGGUCUUGCUGUCACUUAUAGAUGGAUCCGCGCUGCAUUAGCUAGUUGGUAAGGUAACGGCUUACCAAGGCAACGAUGCAUAGCCGACCUGAGAGGAUGAUCGGCCACACUGGAACUGAGACACGGUCCAGACUCCUACGGGAGGCAGCAGUAGGGAAUCUUCCGCAAUGGGCGAAAGCCUGACGGAGCAACGCCGCGUGAGUGAUGAAGGUCUUCGGAUCGUAAAACUCUUUUAUUAGGGAAGAACAUAUGUGUAAGUAACUGUGCACAUCUUGACGGUACCUAAUCAGAAAGCCACGGCUAACUACGUG